rnacentral:rRNA from 1 species
GAUGAACGCUAGCGGCAGGCCUAAUACAUGCAAGUCGAGGGGCAGCAUGAAUGUAGCAAUACAUUUGAUGGCGACCGGCAAACGGGUGCGGAACACGUACACAACCUUCCUAUAAGUGGGGAAUAGCCCAGAGAAAUUUGGAUUAAUACCCCGUAACAUAAUGAUGUGGAAUCACAUUAUUAUUAUAGCUACGGCGCUUAUUGAUGGGUGUGCGGCUGAUUAGAUAGUGGGCGGGGUAACGGCCCACCAAGUCUACGAUCAGUAGCUGAUGUGAGAGCAUGAUCAGCCACACGGGCACUGAGACACGGGCCCGACUCCUACGGGAGGCAGCAGUAAGGAAUAUUGGUCAAUGGACGCAAGUCUGAACCAGCCAUGCCGCGUGAAGGAUUAAGGUCCUCUGGAUUGUAAACUUCUUUUAUCUGGGACGAAAAAAGGCUAUUCUUAGUCACUUGACGGUACCAGAUGAAUAAGCACCGGCUAACUCCGUGCCAGCAGCCGCGGUAA